UAAUUCAAGCGAACAACCACCUGACGUCAUGCUGACUUUUUACUCAGAUUGGCAGUGUUGUGUCGCUCAGGAUUUGCAUAAAAU